rnacentral:lncRNA from 1 species
GCCGACUUCCCCUUCCCAGCCCCGCUGCGCCCUGCGGGGCCCUGUCGGCGGUGGGGGCUGCGGACCCGGGAGCGCGCGGCCGCGCUGCACGUGCAGGGACCGGUAGGCGCCGGGGUCAGCGCCAGCGUUUGAUGUGCGGCGGGGAGCGGGCCGAGCCCCGGGAGGCCGCUUCGCACCUCCCAGUGUGUCCGGGUUGAGCGCGAGGUCAGGAGGGGACGCAGAGUUCACGGCGAAGACGGAUCGCGGGGGCUCGUCCCGCCCGGGUUGCGCGCAGCGGGGGCCGCGUGAUGGAUGGGCCGGGCCGGGCACCCGGGAACCCGCGAGCGCGGGGCUGGGCUCUGGGCUGCGUCCGGGGGCCCCGACUUGGUUAUUGAUCGGCCCAAGCGCAGGAGAACUGACUCUAUAAUGCAUCGCCUGACCAGGAAAAGUGUUUGCUUUUGUGGGAGCAAAAGACAACUUUCUGCCCCGCCAGAGCGUUGCUAAGUGAGCGGUAAUGACCACGCUAGAAAUUUCAUAGGGAGAGGCUAAUGGCAGGCUGACUCUAAAAGUGCUUUUAAGUGCAACUUCUGUCUAAUCCCUUGAGGGGGAAGAAAACAUCGGCGACUAAGAAAGUUCAAGUUGUACAGGACCCGGGUUUUUCAAAUUAUUCAGAAGUAACACAGCCCUGAAAUGUUCCUAAACGUGACUAUUUGAGGCGAUGAAUCAAGCGUGUUCCCUCCGCCCCCAACCCACCCCCAGACCGAAAAUGUGACUCUGGAAACGGACUUGCAGAGCUGGCUUCGGUUUAUAUGCGGUUCUGACCCCUGUUGACUUUAGGACAAGCCUUCCUGUUUCCAGUACUGCAGCAUCGCCAGACAGCCUCGCCAUGCAAUCGGCUUUCCAGAUACGAUUUCACUCCUCACCAAAGACACUUCUUUAGGGCGAUUUUAGGAUUCUAUCAACGCUAGUAAAGGAACUACUUAAACACGUUGAUUUGUAUCGCCUUCCCUGACUAUGAAACAUUGAAGGUAGGUAGUUAAAGCGUGCUCUAAGGAGUACUUUUCUUCAGUUGUAAAGAGAGAAAGAGAGAAAAUUAUUUUAGGUUAAAAAUUUCCACAGAGAGGUUUACAGAGGGGAGCUGCUGGUGCCCUGACGACUUUGGGGCCUGGGUCAGGGCUGAAGCUUUGAAGCUGCCUGGCUCCUGACCCCUUUCCUGCCCCUGAAAGCAUCUCCUGGGAAGUUGAAGAGGGACUCUCAGGGCUGCUGUGGUCAGGCCUGAGGCUGCCCUCUGAGUCUCCUGGGCAGAAGGGCUUUUUGCCAAGAGCACGUCUAGGCGAGCAUGGUGCUAGGCACUGUUGCCAGGGCAGAGCCUGAGGGGCUGCAGAGCCUCAGAACGCCCACGUACUCCAUAGGAGGACUCUCGUAGGAGAGCUUACAACUUCUAGGAAAUGAAAUUUCUGCAUAAAAAUAAAACCAUCACACCAAAGCUACUAGUGCAGCAUGAUUGAUAUAUGCAUUGGUGUAUACUAAUCACUGACAGGCUGCCUUAAACCACUGCUAACAUGUGGAUUCUAGAGUCAUUUCAUAAUUUAGUUUCCAUAAAUGUGAGCAUAUUUCAGUCCCCUUAAGGUCUCAACUUAUGAUAAUAUUAUAAGUUACAUUAUACUCUAUUUGCUCUGUUAUAACCAUUGUGAAUGUAGGUAUAUUGGGGACAUAAUUAGUCUUUAGUGCUUUCUAGCUCAGUAUUUAUAAUUAAAUAGUUUGACAUAGGUAUAAAAUAUAGCUUCAUAUUUUUCUAUCCACGUGUUGCAUUCCAGUUCAAAUUUACGAAAGAACAAAAUAUAAACUUCAUUAAUUUGAUUAUUGUUGUUUAAAAAAUUAUUCGUUUUGAGUCAUUGGUGGCUAGCAAUAUAGUAUUUUAAAUACAUAAAUAUAUUUGAAUUUCACAAUCUUCCUAGAAUAGAUUGAACCUCACAGUCUUCCUAGAUCUAAAUUGAAAAAGGAUAGGCUCUUCCUUAAGCUUAAACUAUCUGUGCUUUAAAAUGAAAACAUAAACAAGAUCCUGCUUUAGGAUUUUACUUGUGGUUCUAUCUUAGGCAUAGAAGGAUUUAUUAAAAGGCGAAGAAAUCCUCAUAUAGGCUAAAGUGAAAAAGACCAACAGUGUCAAAUGUUGGUGGGAAUAUGGAGCAACUGGAACUCUCAUACCUGACUGGUGGGAGUGUGAAAUUGUGCAUUCACUUGAUGAAACUGCUGCAGUUUCUUAACAAGUUAACCAUACUUAUGUUUUAUACCUUAUGGCCCAGCAAUUCCACUUGUAGGUAUUUAUCCAAGAGCAAUAAAAACGUAUGUCCACAAAAGGCCUUAUAUCAAAAUGUUCACAGCAGCUUUAUGCAUAAUAACAGAAAAUGGAAUCAAACCAGCUAUCUAAAAACAGGAGAAAAGAUAAUCCAAUUUUGUUUAUCCAUCCAGUGGAAUACUACUCAUCAAUAAAAAAAAUAUAAACUCCUGAUACACCUCAUGGAUGGAUGCAUAGAUGGAUGGAUGGAUCUGAAAAACAUCGUGCUGAAUAAAAGAAGCCAGACAUGAAAGAGUACGUACAAUAUGAUUUCUUUUAUCUGAAGUUCUGGAACAGGUAAAAUUAAUCUAUGGUAACUUAAGUCAGAACUGGGAGUACUUCUGGUGGGAGGAUUUAGUGGGAAGGGGCAUAAAAGAUCUUCCUGUGUCUUGAUAGAAGUGUGGGUUUUACAAGUGUAUGCAUUUGUAAAACUCAUUGAACUGCAUGCUUAAUAUUCGUGCAUUUCACUGUAUGUAAGCCAUUCUUCAGUAAGAUACAUGAAAAAAGAAAGUCAUAUAAAAGUCAUAAUAUAACAGAAGAGGAAUUCUGGAGUUCUUGUGGAAUAUGCUAUGUCAGAAAACUGCUAAAGAAUAAGUGGAGUGAUUUUUUAAAGACAAGGAAUCAGAUAAAUGUAAGAAUUUCAAAAUCAAAGAAUGUGUUUAGUGGCAGAAUUGCAAUAUUAAUUAUUCCUUAGAGUUACAUUCCCCACAAUGUGUUGUUUGGCAUAUUAAAAGGCAUUCUAUUCAAAACGAUUCUAUAGUCAUAAAUUUGGGAAGCUGUAGGUUAAACGGAGUUAUAUAGGAUUUCUUCCCUAGUACUUCUCAGACUCUUUAAAAUGCGCAUCCUUAGUGUGGGCCUUGUUAUGGGUUGAAUUCUACCUCCCCAAAAAGGUAGGUUGAAGUCCUCAUACCUGUUGAUAUGAUUUUAAUUGGAUAUAAGGGUUUUGCAGAUGUAAUUAAUUAAGGUCAUACUGGAUUUACGGUGGGCCCUUCAUCCUAUAUGACUGGUGUCCUUGUAAGAGUAGGACAGAGACAGAGAGAGGGGGCGGGGGAGAGAGAGAGAGAGAGGGAGAGACCAGGGAGAGGAUGCCCAUGUGAUGAUGGAGGCAGAGAUGGGAGUGAUGCAUCUAUAAGCCAAGGAGGGCCAAGAACAGCUGGCAAACACCAGAGGCUGAAAGAGACGAGGAAGGAUUCCUCUAUAGGUUUCUAUAUCAGUUCCUUCUCAUGCUACUAAUGAAAGACAUACCUGAGACUGGGAAAUUUAUAAGGGAAAGAGGUUUAAUUGACUCACAGUUCAGGAAACUUACAAUCAUGGUGGACGGGGAAGCAAGCAUGUCCUUCUUUACAUGAUGGCAGGAAGGAGAAGUGCAGAGAGAAGGGGGGAAAGCCCCUUAUAAAACCAUCAGAUCUCAUGAGAACACACUCACUAUCACCAGAAAAGCAUGAAGGCAAUCACCCCCAUGAUUCAAUUACCUCUCAUUGGGUCCCUCCCACCACAGGUAGGAAUUAUGUGAAUUACACUUCAGUAUGAGAUUUGGGUGGGGACAGCCAAACAAACCACAUCAGCUUCAGAUGGAGCUGGGCUCUGUUGACAUCUUGACCUCUGAUCUCAGACUUCUAGCCUGCAGAACUGUGAGAGAAUAAAUUUCUAUUGUUUCAAGCCGCCUGUCUGUGGUACUUUGUUAGAGCAGACACAGGAACCAUACAAACCUCUAGGAAAAAGAUGUGAUGAUCUCACGUUUCCCAGAUUGGUCUGAUCAUACAAUCUUCUGCACUUUCCAUGGCAUGUCUGGAGAGUGUUUGGCCCGCCCAGUGUGGUAAUCCCUGCCUGCUGGGACGGCCUUUCCUUCAACUAUUCAUGUUAUUCUUGCUUACCUUAAGAGCAGUGUGGUAUGCAGAAUGAUGGCCCCCAAAGAUGUCCACAUCCUAGUCCUGGAAUGUGGGAAUAUGUGAGUUACAUGGCAAAGAGGAAUUAAGGGAGCACAUGGAGUUAAGCUUGCUAAUCAGUGGACUUUAAAAUACGGAGGCUAUCCAGUUGGGUCUAGUGUAAUCAUGAGAGUUCUUAAAAGUAGAAGAGGGUAGUUAAAGAGAUUGACAGGGUACUUAAAUCAGAAGACAGGAUUGCAGAUGGAGGAAGGGGCUGCCAACCAAAGAUGGUGGGUGACCUCUAGAAGCUGGAAAAGGAAGGAAUGGAUUCUCCUCUCCAGCAAACAAAGAAACACACCCUGCCUACAGCUGGAUCUUAGCUCAGGGAGACCCGUGUUUGAUUUCUGACCCACGGUACAGCAAGAUGAUAACUCUGUGCUGUUUCAAGUCUGUAGGUUUGUGGUAAUUUGUUGUAGUAGUAAUAGAAAGCCAACAUAAGCACUAAGUGAAAUAAUUCUUUCUUCAUUUUUUAGAACAUUUGACUUUUGAUGUCAAAAACUAGAAUUUUACAUUUUUUAGAAUUUUGUUCCAGAAUGUUGUCCAUAUUGCAUAAAGUUGUGUCAUUUCCUACUCAAACAAAGACUAUCUACCUGAAUGCUUGCAACACGACAAGAAUAAUAACAGGUA